rnacentral:rRNA from 1 species
UACGUAGGUGGCAAGCGUUGUCCGGAAUUACUGGGCGUAAAGCGUGCGCAGGCGGUUCGUGAUGUCUGAUGUGAAAGCCCCGGGCUCAACCUGGGAACUGCAUUGGAAACUAGCGGGCUGGAGUGUGGCAGAGGGGGGUGGAAUUCCACGUGUAGCAGUGAAAUGCGUAGAGAUGUGGAGGAACACCGAUGGCGAAGGCAGCCCCCUGGGCUAACACUGACGCUCAUGCACGAAAGCGUGGGGAGCAAACAGG